AUCCUUCACCAUCAACAGGUCCAUCGCUGGCAUUUGCAUAUCUGGCAGUCCCGUUUGUGACUCUGAUGAUUCUCCUCAUUCUCUACUUUGGACAGAAAAAGACUGGUAGUUAUGUGAUGGGUUUUGAGGAUACUGUGAUGCUUAUGUGAAUAAUAUUGUGUGUACCUUUUCCACCUUUGUCUCUCUUUCUCUCCUUUUUGGAAGCAGUGAAAUGCCAGCAGGAUUCUGAGCCAGAAGAACAGCAGGAGGAGGAGGAGGAGGAACUGGGUGAUCUUGAAACAGGGGAGCCCCAAACAGCAGUUUUGCAGGAACACGACCAAGUAAGCACAGAGAUUCGUGUGUAAUAUUAGUUACAUCCAUGAAAAACUGCCCAACUACCUUUAUGGAAUGUGGUGCUACUGCAAGAUGCAAUGAUAGCCUACAAAUGACCAAGCUCACGGACAGAGAUCUCUAUUGUGUACUGCCUUUAGAUAUCUUCCAAAAUUCAGAUAGUUGUUUAUUUCCUUGACAUCUGCUGGGAGGGCGUUCCACAGGGCGGGCGCCACCACAGAGUAGGCCCUCUACCUGGUUCCCUGUAACUUUGCUUCUCGCAGGGAGGGAACCGCCAGAAGGCCCUCGGAGCGGGACCUCAGUGUCCGGACUGAACGAUGGGAGUGGAGACGCUCCUUCAGGCCUACUGGGCCUUUGAGGCCAUUUAGGGAUUUCAAGGUCAGCACCAACACUUUGAAUUGUGCUCGGAAACAUACUGGGAGCCAAUGAUCAAGCACUAGGAAGUGGGAGAAAAGCUUCCUUCUCUGAGCUCCGGCUAUGUAGGGUUGUAGGCCAACAGUAGGACAUAUGCUCUGCAUGUAGAAGGUCUGAGGAUCAAUCCCACUGGCCUCUUCAGGUAAGGCUGUGAAGGACUUAGAAAGCUGCUGCCAACCAGUGUCCACAAUACCAGAUAAGAUACCCAGGGAAGUUAUUUGCCAGGCCCCUCCUGCUUUCAUUGCUGACCAAUGGCACCCUCACAUUCCUUCUGUUCCCACAGGGCUCAACCAUCACCUACGCCACCAUCAAAUUCUGCUCUGCUAAGUCUUGCUUAGGAAAUGGGCUCCGACUGGUGGAAGAGGAGAAGGUGAUGUACAGCGAGGUUCUAUUUCCACCUACUAACAGAGGAAGAAAGUGAAGAGAUUGUGGAAAGGAAAGAGAUUAUGGAGUUUUGAGUGGCUGCCAAAGGAUUCUACAUCGCCUGCCAGUUGGUUUAUUGCUCUCAGCCAGGGCAUGGCUGAAGGCACAGGAGGUGCCCAUCUUGCGGAAGCUAAGCAGGUCCGGGUCUGGUCAGUGUCUGGGUGGGUGACUAGCUGGGAACCACAGAUGUGCUGCUGUGAUGGUGUCCAGUGAUGGAAGAAAGGAUGGGAUGUAAAUUUAAGAAAAGAAAACAAACAAAUACGUGUUGGUUGAGGUCCUCUGCACGUCCCACAGAAAUCAACGCAG